GGAAAACCACCAAAUACAAAAAACAGCAUGGAUGUCAAACAGGUUCUUAGCAGUAGACUUGUGCUGUGGGAAUGUUAUUUUUCUGCAACUCUUCCGUCAAUCUGAAAUGUGUCUCGAAAGUUACUUACAAUUUCAUUUAGAAUCUUAUGAAAUCUCUGUAUACACAUGGGUUUAUUGUUCUUAUAUAUUUGUUUGGCUUGUUUAAGUUGGUGGGUCAGGCAGUGAAAC
rnacentral:misc_RNA from 1 species